rnacentral:lncRNA from 1 species
UGGGGCUCGUGAAAAUGCCACAUCAAGAAAAGUCAACAAAUACAUACUUAGUGGUAACUAUGGUUGCAGAGAAAGAGAAAACUUAAAACAAUAUGAACAUAUGUGGUCAUAUAGACUGAAAACCCACCGUGUCAUAAAACCCCAGGACACAGAACGCAUCAGCGUAGACAGCAGCUGUACAGACAAUGCUGGGGCGGUUGUGGAGUGGGAUUAGAAGACAGGAGGCGCCAUCGAGUCAGCUCCAAGGCCAUUAGCCUUGUGACGCCAGCAAAAUGUGUGAGUGGGGAGCCUCUACGUUCUCUCCUGUGAAAUGGGGAUGACAGUACUUCCUUGUAGGGUUGUGGUAACGAAGUUAUUCAGCACAGAGCUUGGCAUGUGGUCAUAACAAGGAGUGGCGGAUAAUGAUAAUAUGGUAACAGUAGGCAUCAUUGUGAGAAGGGACAGAGACUCAAUGUGAAAAGUAUAGAAAGGGCUCUUACAAAUCUCCAAGCACAUAAAAGUCCCUAAAAGACAAAUGGCGAAGGGUUCACAGUUCACAGAAAUGGAAAAAAAGAAAUGAAUGAAUUCAAUGAAUAUUAGGGGAAGAAAACCGUUACUAAUUAGUGACGAAGCACAAAGUAAUCUUCAAAAGUCACUGGAUUUUUCAAUGAGAAGGAGAAGUUAGGCAGCUACCAAAUAGCUGAAAGAAUAUUAAAUCUGAUGGAUCCAGCCAAAUAAAAAUGUUCAUUCAUAGGAUCUGUGGUUGUUGAGGAAUCUUCUAAGUUUCAUAAAUGGCAAAAACUCUUUCUCAGACUUACAGAUCAGACCUCACAUAUGCAUGAGAAGAGAAGCUAUUUUUGUCUCUGGGUUCCAGUUACACAGCCACAGCCUGGAAGCUUUGUUCUCAGAAUUCAUGCUGUCAUCAAAAGGACUCAAUACAAACACUGCAGCCAGCCUGCCAUGGCUUAGCUGUGACCGCAGCUGCAAACUCUUCUGUCAUGUGAAAACUUUUGGCUUUUUCCGGGUGUGGAAUGCCUGUUGGUCCCAGCUCCGCCUGCCUUUCCUCCUUCUGGAAUCGUGUCCAUCCUUUCAGUCAACUCAGUUUGUCCGCAUCUUCCAGGCCUCAUACCUCCGCCUGAUCUGCAUGGCAGUGGUGGGCUUGCUCUUUGUGCUAUUACACUGACUGUGAUCGUGUUUAGUGAGUCAGCUUCUACAAAGUUGACCUGCACCUGUGUGAUGUCUCUCCCUAGCUGGAUGCAGCUUCUCCAUGGGCUAAGUUCAUCAUGUUAACAGUGCCUGCCCCACAGGCCCUCAGGGGAUCUUAGUGGGUGGUCUAUGGAGAGACUUUAGUGGGUAUAUGAAUCCCCAAAAUUGUAGGCAAAGUUUGUGUAUGCUGUGGCCUAUCGACAGCGGGGACUCUGCCGCUGAUUUCUCCUAAGAAGCCUCCUGGGGGUUUGAGCGAAUCGUG